GAGCGGAGAUGAGGUGCUUGCACCUUAUCUUAGCGGCGGACGGGUGAGUAAUGCUUAGGAAUCUGCCUAUUAGUGGGGGACAACAUUUCGAAAGGAAUGCUAAUACCGCAUACGCCCUACGGGGGAAAGCAGGGGAUCUUCGGACCUUGCGCUAAUAGAUGAGCCUAAGUCGGAUUAGCUAGUUGGUGGGGUAAAGGCCUACCAAGGCGACGAUCUGUAGCGGGUCUGAGAGGAUGAUCCGCCACACUGGGACUGAGACACGGCCCAGACUCCUACGGGAGGCAGCAGUGGGGAAUAUUGGACAAUGGGGGGAACCCUGAUCCAGCCAUGCCGCGUGUGUGAAGAAGGCCUUUUGGUUGUAAAGCACUUUAAGCGAGUGGAGGAGGAGCUCUAGAUUAAUACUCUAGAUGCUUGGACGUUACUCGCAGAAUAAGCACCGGCUAACUCUGUG
rnacentral:rRNA from 1 species